AGCAUAUCAAUAAGCGGAGGAAAAGAAACUAACAAGGAUUCCCCUAGUAACUGCGAGUGAAGCGGGAAAAGCUCAAAUUUAAAAUCUGGCAGUCUUUGGCUGUCCGAGUUGUAAUCUAGAGAAGUGUUAUCCGCGCUGGACCGUGUACAAGUCUCCUGGAAUGGAGCGUCAUAGAGGGUGAGAAUCCCGUCUUUGACACGGACUGCCAGGGCUUUUGUGAUGCGCUCUCAAAGAGUCGAGUUGUUUGGGAAUGCAGCUCAAAAUGGGUGGUAAAUUCCAUCUAAAGCUAAAUAUUGGCGAGAGACCGAUAGCGAACAAGUACCGUGAGGGAAAGAUGAAAAGAACUUUGGAAAGAGAGUUAAACAGUACGUGAAAUUGCUGAAAGGGAAACGCUUGAAGUCAGUCGCGUUGUCCAGGGAUCAACCUUGCUUUUGCUUGGUGCACUUUCUGGUUGACGGGUCAGCAUCAAUUUUGACUAUUGGAAAAAGGUCAGGGGAAUGUGGCAUCUUUGGAUGUGUUAUAGCCCUUGGUUGCAUACAAUAGUUGGGAUUGAGGAACUCAGCACGCCGCAAGGCCGGGUUUUUAACCACGUCCGUGCUUAGGAUGCUGGCAUAAUGGCUUUAAUCGACCCGUCUUGAAACACGGACCAAGGAGUCUAACAUGCCUGCGAGUGUUUGGGUGGAAAACCCGAGCGCGUAAUGAAAGUGAAAGUUGAGAUCCCUGUCGUGGGGAGCAUCGACGCCCGGUCCAGACCUUUUGUGACGGUGCCGCGGUAGAGCAUGUAUGUUGGGACCCGAAAGAUGGUGAACUAUGCCUGAAUAGGGUGAAGCCAGAGGAAACUCUGGUGGAGGCUCGUAGCGAUUCUGACGUGCAAAUCGAUCGUCAAAUUUGGGUAUAGGGGCGAAAGACUAAUCGAACCAUCUAGUAGCUG
rnacentral:rRNA from 1 species